GUGAGGAAUAUUGGUCAAUGGGCGGGAGCCUGAACCAGCCAAGUCGCGUGAAGGAAGAAGGAUCUAUGGUUCGUAAACUUCUUUUGCAGGGGAAUAAAGUGCAGGACGUGUCCUGUUUUGUAUGUACCCUGAGAAUAAGGAUCGGCUAACUCCGUGCCAGCAGCCGCGGUAAUACGGAGGAUCCGAGCGUUAUCCGGAUUUAUUGGGUUUAAAGGGUGCGUAGGUGGUUUGAUAAGUCAGCGGUGAAAGUUUGCAGCUUAACUGUAAAAAUGCCGUUGAAACUGUCGGACUUGAGUGCAAAUGAGGUAAGCGGAAUGUGUUGUGUAGCGGUGAAAUGCUUAGAUAUAACACAGAACACCGAUUGCGAAGGCAGCUUACUGGGAUGCAACUGACGCUCAUGCACGAAAGCGUGGGGAUCAAACAGGAUUAGAUACCCUAGUAGUCC
rnacentral:rRNA from 1 species